UUCAUACCAGCCAGGCCGAGCACCUCUCAUGAUAGUCGUAGUCGUCGUCAAUGGGUUAGCCAACCUAAUAGAACCAUUCCUCACAACAACCAGAUGAUGAUGAUGACAAGAAGGAUAACGUAGGUGGGGAGUGAUCUGUAACUGUUCUAUGUAUAUAUAUAGAUAUAUAUUUAUCUCUCUCUCUCUAUAUAUAUAUGUAUAGCAACAACAGGUCUGGUAACAGGAGUAGUGCUUGUUGUGAAAGCAAGGACUUAAUGCAAUCACACGGACAGUAAUAGCAACAGCUAAAUGGAGACAGAUUUUUUUCCCCGAUAAAAUGAGGCAGAAAUGUUGUACAUGUUGAAGACGCUGUUGCUGCUGCUGUAAUACAGCAGUCAAUCCAACAUUUUCUAGGCAAGCAUCAGUUCUAGCAGUAGAUAGAUAUAACAACAACAAAAAUAGAGAAUCUUUUUACAUCAUGUUUGCCUUCUGUGGAUUAUACAAUAUUAGAAUGAUGAGCAUAGGGAAAGAGGAAAGGGAUGCAUAUGUUACGGGGGAUACGUGGGCAGUGGCAGUGAGAACUACAGAGGUAGAUAGAAGGAAGGCACAGAACUGAGAGGUAAGUUUUAAUUGAUGGAAAGAUGAAUGAAAGUCUGCCUUCAGAGCUUUUUGUUAGCAGCUCCUUACCACUCCAGCACUAGCCUCUCCCUUCUCCUCUUCUGUAACAACCACAAGGGCUUGCCUUGCAUUUGUUAGUAUCAGCUUUGCUGUUUCUGUACAGCAGUGUCCUCAUAUACUACCUAAGCUGAUGAAAAAUAGACAGCUACAUUGCUCCAUUUUCAAGAAUGCAAAAUCUUAAGAAGCUGAUUAAUGAGUGUGUGUUUGUGUGAGUGCAUGCAUGCAUGCAUGUGUAUAUAUACACUGGUGGUUGAUGAUGAUGAAGUAAAACAAGGGAAAAAAAAAAAUCCACAAGAAUCAUGUUUCAUUGAUUAGAAGAGAUUAAGAUAACGUUGAUUAUUAAUCAUAAUGUGCAGAACUAUAAAAUCAAAUAGCCAACUGUUAAUUCUGACUUUAGGUAAAACAACAACAACAACAAUAAUAAUCUACAAAUCACAAAAUACAUUGGCUGGGGGUAGCUAUUUUUAUCAACAGCUACACUGAAAAAUGACAGUUUAUGAAUGAUUUCUACAAGAGACCUGGAUUAAAAAAAAAACGACAAAAAGACAUAGUCUCCUUGUUUUCUACACUGGAAAGAAAAUUUCCAUGUUCAGAAAAUGAAGCAACACAAAAGUCAAAAAGCCCCAAUAGUACCUACUCUUUGUAUGUAAACAACCUUCAUUCCUUCCUUUUUUGCUUUCUUUCAGAAUACAGUUGUGCAUAGAUUUGAUGUCUUUGUAAAGGAAAAUGAAUUUAACUAGAUGGCGUGUGGAUUUGAAUGGCUAUCACCGCAGAAUGAACAAUGAUUGUUGUUGUUGCAGUUGUGUAACACUGGUCAGUUCUAAUCAAGCAGAAAUAGCUGACAGAAAUGUGAUUUAUAAACUCAAUGUUUGAUGUGGAUCAAUAUUUGACCACUUACCCUAAUACAUUUAUUGCAAAUAUUUAUUUUACUGACAUACAGGAAGAUGAAAUGAUAAAGGUAGCUAUAGUACGAUUUGAACCCAUUACUACAGGUCAAUGAAUUGAUCAUCACUAACCCAGCCGCCAACUAACUUAUUGUAUUGUUUAGUAGAUAGAAAGGUUUUCUGCUAAGAGAAAAGGGUACAAUUUGAAACUGCAAAACUAUUACCUUAUAUAAAAUGAAACCACUCAAUGAUGGCAGCUAAUUAAAAUUAUACUUGGAGAUAAAGAUGAAAGAAAUUUUGAAAUUUCACUGCCCUUUAAGAAGCAGUAAACUAAAAUGGAGUUGGAAGCCACUUGUUGAAUUUUAAAAGCUAAUAUAUACAUUUUUUUUUUUGGAGAAAAUCUCCAAAAGUUGGCAAACAUUCCCAAUAUAUUAAAUAUAUAUCACCAAUGAUCAAUAGUUUUGAAUUCCAUGUCCUUUGCAAACAUAAUGUAUAGUAAGGAUGGACGAUUACUAAGUAAUUUGGGGAGUAGAUCAAUGGCCUUAUAUUUAUGAAGCAAUUCAAACUAAUGAACCAAAAAGAGAUCACCAUAUUUAAAUAAAAGAAGUUGAGGAUGUUAUUUGCAGGGGUCGAUAAUUUUGCAUCAAACUGGAUCAGAAGAUAAUGGAUAUUUUAUUUAGUAUAAAGAUUAGAAGUAGAGGCAGAAAGAUAAGUUCAUGUGAAUCUAUACUAUAUUACCAUGACAACUUAGUUCUAAACAAAGUCAAAAAAACAGAAGAAAAACAUAAAUGAAGCAGAACUGUGUUGAUUCCUUAUCUAAUCAGGUUGCUAAUAGGGUCUAUUUGAUUAUUGAGGUGAUUUGCAACAUUCAUUUGACUAUGGAAGCACAGACACUCUAGAUACUCUAUCCAUAUUGGUUUAGAACAAAAAGAAAACAUUAAAAUAGUUCAGUAGAAGAUGACAUAGUGGGUGACAUUACUACUUUAUCUGGUUAUUGUUGUUGUUGUUAAGACAGCCCUGAUCAAGUAAACUUAUGGUCAAAAGGCAUUCCACAUGUCUAUUUUGUUUUUUUGUAUAUCAUUCAAUGAAUGCUUCCAACUUCAUUUAAGUCUACUGCUUAAGAAUGGUGAUAUUUCUAAGUUUGUUUCAAAUUUGUCUCCAAAUAAGGCUUUCUUAUUAUUCAUUAAUAUUUGAACAGUUUUGUUUUCAACUUGUUCCUUAUUCUUUUGUUGGGUUAAUGAUGAUCAGUUUAAUGAUGCUAUGGUGUGAUGCAAGAGAAAUUGGACUGAUAUUUCUGGCAGAUUGGAUGAACAUAAAGGAGCACACUUAUUCGGUCAAGCUCAAUGUUGUAGAUGAUUUCUCUGAAUAUGUAGAAAAGAAAAUAAGCAGAUCAACACUUUAUAGUCAAGGUAAACAAUAGGCAUGCAAAAAGCACAGAGGGGUCUCUGGAACUCUGAUAAAGAACCAGAACUGAAGUAGUUCCCAACUGGAGCAACAAGACAAUGGAGCAUUUUGAUUGUUUUUGCUGGAACUAACAGAGUUCAGCUUUUAAGAUGAUAUUACUAGUAUUGAUUGUAACAAAGGGUUUCGAGGUAUGUACAAAAGUAGACCAUAUUAGAGAUCGUGUGAAAGCCAUUAGAGAAAAUCCCUUCUUUCAGACCAAACUUAUUUUUUAAAAAAAAGCAUACGGCAGGGUGUUGAAAAGUUCCUGGCUUUAAAGAUAUCAUGAAAGGCCUGGUUGGAGGCCCAACCUUUUGAGUUCUUUUACAGGGCUUAGAAAAACUGAAGGACCAAUGCAAUAACUGGAUCUGAGGAGGGAAUAUGUUGAAUAAAAUCAUAAUUAACUGAUCCUCUUGUAUUUUCUUUUAUCCAAAGCUAUGAACUUUCCAAUACCCCUGUAAGUUGAUGCAAAUAUGGAAGGAAAACCUUUAAUGACAUAAAAUAUAAAACAAAACAUAAACACGUUAAAAUGGGGAUGAUGAACAAUGCUAUUGAUGGCAAUGAGGAAAUUAUAUGAUUACAGCUUCAUAUCCUAUCGAUAUUCCCUGGAUGGACUAUUUUAUACACAAGAGUAUAAUGAUUCAAAUCCAAUGGAAAGCAAUAAGCAGAGAUGACUUCAUCAGGCAAUGUGUCAUACUUGAUGAUAUUAUUUGUGACAAG
rnacentral:lncRNA from 1 species